CAGCACUGGACUGGAAAUUAAAAGGUAAUUUUUGAAACCUUCUUGUGUCUCUAGCUCACUUUAGCAGAGUUCCUAUUUAUGUACCAGUUGGCAAAUCAGGAAAGGUUCCUACGUGCUUGUCCUUUGAAUGCCUCUAGGAGAAGAUUCAGUCAAAGGACUCGACCUAAAAUUCGUAGGUAGGCAUCGUGACUGAAAUGGGUGGUUGAAUAUACAUUUAUACGAAAAUAGUGAAGUAUUUUCAUUUACAACUUACUGAAAAAAAUUAAAAAGAAUAACAACAAUACUAUAAGAUAAAUACAUACUAAUUCUUUCAGUUAUCAUCUCUUGUGAAAAAUAAUCAAAAAAUGUAAUGGC
rnacentral:lncRNA from 1 species